UUUUUAUAUGUAUACCUUGAAUACUUGAUGGAGAGCAAUAUCAGUCAACCAUAUAUUUCCAAAGGGAUCAACAUGAAUUCCGUGUGAGAUUUCCACUCGGCUCUACCGCGACUCCGGAAACCUCACCAAGAUUUUCGGGACUUCGCCAGAAAUGAUUUUCAACGGGAUGCAGUGGCGCAUUAUGAGAUUCCGAAAAUGACUGAUCCUGCAUUUUUUACCGGAAAACAAACAAAAAUAAUCGAAUAAUGAAGGAAACGAACAGUCGAUCGUGAAUUCAUUAAUAUGCAGAAUAAAUUGGAUAUACCGAUGAUUGAUGAGAAACAGCUGUUGUGUCAGAUGUCGUUCAAACUCAACUGGAUCUGUGGAGGAUUUUUGAAAAAGGAUUCGCCGGUACAAUCAGACAGGGCUGGCACUCGUAGCGUCGUUUAUUUAUCGAUUUCGAGACUCAACGGUGUUUCCGGUUGGGUCCAUAUGUAGCCUGUGCGUGUCAU